UCUACGGGAGGCAGCAGUGGGGAAUAUUGGACAAUGGGGGAAAGCCUGAUCCAGCAAUGCCGCGUGAGUGAUGAAGGCCUUAGGGUUGUAAAGCUUUUUUACCCGGGAUGAUAAUGACAGUACCGGGAGAAUAAGCUCCGGCUAACUCCGUGCCAGCAGCCGCGGUAAUA
rnacentral:rRNA from 1 species